GAGAACUGAACACAUGAAUUGUCGAAUGACAGGGUAACGCCUUGAAAGGCAUCCUUAAUCCUCCGACUUGCAUGGAUAUGAGUAAACAUUGAAAUGUAAGAAGCUCGGUGAAGUCGGCAGAAAGGCACCGUAACAGUUUGGCUGACGAAAGCUACCCAGAGGUGGGCGGUGUGUCUGAUAUGCCGGAGGUCUAUAAG
rnacentral:ncRNA from 1 species